GCCAGUGUGGCUUAGUGAUUAGAACAUUGGACUAUGACUCUGGAGACAAGGGUUCGAUUCCUCCCUUGGACA